rnacentral:rRNA from 1 species
UACGGAGGGUGCGAGCGUUGUCCGGAUUUAUUGGGUUUAAAGGGUGCGUAGGCGGUUCUAUAAGUCAGUGGUGAAAUCCGGCAGCUCAACUGUCGAUGUGCCAUUGAUACUGCAGAACUUGAGUACAGACGAGGUAGGCGGAAUUGACGGUGUAGCGGUGAAAUGCUUAGAUAUCGUCAAGAACACCGAUAGCGAAGGCAGCUUACUAGACUGUAACUGACGCUGAUGCACGAAAGUGUGGGGAUCAAACAGG